rnacentral:rRNA from 1 species
AGAGUUUGAUCCUGGCUCAGGAUGAACGCUGGCGGCAUGCCUAAGACAUGCAAGUCGAACGAGAUGGCCCAGUGAAGGUUGCGUGCUUGCACAAGACUGAAUCUGGAUCACCAUCUAGUGGCAGACGGGUAAGUAACACGUGGGUGACCUACCUUUUCGUUGGGGAUAACAGUUGGAAACGAUUGCUAAUACCGAAUAAAAUAUAAAAGCCAAUUUUAUAUUGAAAAGGGAGCCUUUAAAAGCUUCGCGAUUAG